GAUGAAGAACGCAGCGAAAUGCGAUAAGUAAUGUGAAUUGCAGAAUUCAGUGAAUCAUCGAAUCUUUGAACGCACAUUGCGCCCGCUAGUAUUCUGGCGGGCAUGCCUGUCCGAGCGUCAUUUCAACCCUCAAGCCCCCGGGCUUGGUGUUGGCGAUCGGCGAGCCUCCGCGCCCGCCGUCCCCUAAAUCUAGUGGCGGUCUCGCUGUAGCUUCCUCUGCGUAGUAGCACACCUCGCACUGGGAAACAGCGCGGCCACGCCGUUAAACCCCCAACUUCUGAACGUUUGACCUCGGAUCAGGUAGGAAUACCCGCUGAACUUAAGCAUAUCAAUAAGCGGAGGA
rnacentral:misc_RNA from 1 species